UACGUAGGGGGCAAGCGUUAUCCGGAUUUACUGGGUGUAAAGGGAGUGUAGGUGGCAUGGCAAGUCAGAAGUGAAAGCCCGGGGCUCAACCCCGGGACUGCAUUUGAAACUAUCGGACUGGAGUGCAGGAGAGGUAAGUGGAAUUCCUAGUGUAGCGGUGAAAUGCGUAGAUAUUAGGAGGAACACCAGUGGCGAAGGCGGCUUACUGGACUGUAACUGACACUGAGGCUCGAAAGCGUGGGGAGCAAACAGG
rnacentral:rRNA from 1 species